GACGAACGCUGGCGGCGUGCUUAACACAUGCAAGUCGAACGGUAAGGCCCUUCGGGGUACACGAGUGGCGAACGGGUGAGUAACACGUGGGUGAUCUGCCCUGCACUUCGGGAUAAGCCUGGGAAACUGGGUCUAAUACCGGAUAGGACCACUGCCUGCAUGGGUGGUGGUGGAAAGCUUUUGCGGUGUGGGAUGGGCCCGCGGCCUAUCAGCUUGUUGGUGGGGUGAUGGCCUACCAAGGCGACGACGGGUAGCCGGCCUGAGAGGGUGACCGGCCACACUGGGACUGAGAUACGGCCCAGACUCCUACGGGAGGCAGCAGUGGGGAAUAUUGCACAAUGGGCGCAAGCCUGAUGCAGCGACGCCGCGUGAGGGAUGACGGCCUUCGGGUUGUAAACCUCCUUCAGCACCGUCGAAGCGCAAGUGACGGUAGGUGCAGAAGAAGGACCGGCCAACUACGUGCCAGCCGCCGCAGUAACAC
rnacentral:rRNA from 1 species